rnacentral:rRNA from 1 species
AUUGACUGAGUGGCGGACGGGUGAGUAACGCGUGGGUAACCUGCCUUGUACUGGGGGACAACAGUUAGAAAUGACUGCUAAUACCGCAUAAGCGCACAGUAUCGCAUGAUACAGUGUGAAAAACUCCGGUGGUACAAGAUGGACCCGCGUCUGAUUAGCUAGUUGGUAAGGUAACGGCUUACCAAGGCGACGAUCAGUAGCCGACCUGAGAGGGUGACCGGCCACAUUGGGACUGAGACACGGCCCAAACUCCUACGGGAGGCAGCAGUGGGGAAUAUUGCACAAUGGGCGGAAGCCUGAUGCAGCGACGCCGCGUGAGUGAAGAAGUAUUUCGGUAUGUAAAGCUCUAUCAGCAGGGAAGAAAAUGACGGUACCUGACUAAGAAGCCCCGGCUAACUACGUGCCAGCAGCCGCGGUAAUACGUAGGGGGCAAGCGUUAUCCGGAUUUACUGGGUGUAAAGGGAGCGUAGACGGUAAAGCAAGUCUGAAGUGAAAGCCCGCGGCUCAACUGCGGGACUGCUUUGGAAACUGUUUAACUGGAGUGUCGGAGAGGUAAGUGGAAUUCCUAGUGUAGCGGUGAAAUGCGUAGAUAUUAGGAGGAACACCAGUGGCGAAGGCGACUUACUGGACGAUAACUG